rnacentral:rRNA from 1 species
GGAUUGACGUGAUGGUCGGGCUAACAAGUCUGUACUGGUGUGUAGAAUUUCUACCUUCUGGGGAACUAUCAUGUUAUUAAUUUAGCGUGGUGGGAAACCAGGACCUUUACCUUGAAAAAAUUAGAGUGUUCAAAGCAGGCUUACGUCUGAAUACAUUAGCAUGGAAUAAUAAAAUAGGACGGUGGUCCUGUUUUGUUGGUUUCUGAAUCACCGUA